UCCUGGUUAACCCAGGCAGUCUCACUAGAGUUCCCACCUUUACGUGUUGGCAACUAAUGAUAAGGGUUGCGCUCGUUGCGGGACUUAACCCAACACCUCACGGCACGAGCUGACGACAGCCAUGCAGCACCUGUGCAGAUGUCCCGAAGGAAGACCCUAUUUCUAGGGCUGUCAUCUGCAUGUCAAGUCUGGGUAAGGUUCUUCGCGUUGCAUCGAAUUAAACCACAUGCUCCACUGCUUGUGCGGGUCCCCGUCAAUUCUUUUGAGUUUCAGCCUUGCGACUGUACUUCCCAGGCGGUAUACUUAUCGCGUUAGCUUCGGCACAACUAGGGUUGAGUCCAGUUACACCAAGUAUACAUAGUUUACGGCAAGGACUAC
rnacentral:misc_RNA from 1 species